UCAGGAUGAACGCUGGCGGCAUGCCUAACACAUGCAAGUCGAACGGGGUUUAUAUGACGGAACUCUCCGGAGGGAAGAUAUAUAAACCUAGUGGCGGACGGGUGAGUAACGCGUGGGCAACCUGCCCUGUACCGGGGGACAACAGCCAGAAAUGGCUGCUAAUACCGCAUAAGCCUGCUGUGCCGCAUGGCACAGCAGGGAAAACCACGGUGGUACAGGAUGGGCCCGCGUCUGAUUAGUUAGUUGGCAGGGUAACGGCCUACCAAGACAACGAUCAGUAGCCGGCUUGAGAGAGUGGACGGCCACAUUGGGACUGAGACACGGCCCAGACUCCUGCGGGAGGCAGCAGUGGGGAAUAUUGCACAAUGGGGGGAACCCUGAUGCAGCAAUGCCGCGUGGGUGAAGAAGCACUCCGGUGCGUAAAGCCCUGUCAGCAGGGAAGAAAAUGACAGUACCUGACCAAGAAGCCCCGGCUAACUACGUGCCAGCAGCCGCGGUAAUACGUAGGGGGCAAGCGUUAUCCGGAUUUACUGGGUGUAAAGGGAGCGCAGGCGGCGUGGCAAGUCAGAUGUGAAAACCCGGGGCCCAACCCCGGGAGUGCAUUUGAAACUGCCAUGCUGGAGUGCCGGAGAGGUAGCGGAAUUCCUAGUGUAGCGGUGAAAUGCGUAGAUAUUAGGAGGAACACCAGUGGCGGAGGCGGCUUACUGGACGGUAACUGACGCUGAGGCUCGAAAGCGUGGGGAGCAAACAGGAUUAGAUACCCUGGUAGUCCACGCCGUAA
rnacentral:rRNA from 1 species